GUCUCUGUAGCUCAGUGGUUAGAGCACUGGUUUUGUAAACCAACGGUCGUGAGUUCGAGUCUCACUGGGACU